rnacentral:misc_RNA from 1 species
UCCCUAAAGAACAUUGUAAAAGCAAAAGUUACCCUCAACCAAACGAACAAAAGGCAAAAGGGAAUAAUUUCUGCACAACCCGCGCCAAGGCCUAAUCGUAUACGUUACACCUAUAGGAUGAAUCAUCAUUAGAUAGAAAAUGGUUCGUCCCUCAAACUGUUGCAAUCUAACAGUGCAAUACAAUAUCAAUCUGGCUCGUGGUUCCCGCGACUAAAUCACGCACCUCCUAUGAUGUGUUCUAACCCUAAAAUCAGCCAACUAAAUAGUAAAUACUUACUCCACAACCAAUCUAUAUGAAUUUCCCAUCAUCAGCAGUCAAACUACCACCGUGCCAUGAGCUGUCAUUUUCAAGAAAAUCACUUCCAUCUGUGG